GCGCCCCGCCUGACGCUAUCCCAACACAGUGCGAGGGGCCGCAUAGGCCGCCCUUUUGGCUUGCAGCGGGGCAGGCGGAGCGACUUAGAGGAAAAGUCACCUCACGCACCCUCCCGCAGAGGAGUCUCAAAAUACUAUGGAUUGUUAAAGUAGAAAACUGGAACCUCAUGGGGCCAUCUUAGAUCCUCAACAGGUCUGGGCUUGAUGUUCACCAAUUUUCCCUUAGCUCCAACUGUGGCUCCUCUCAGCGGACCCUGAUCCUGCUCUCUGCAGGGCUGGUCUGCCCAUCACAGCACAUCAAUAAACAGCAGAGGGAAACUACCACCUUGGAGGGAGCCAGGCAGUUUCUGCUGGGCGGGCCAGGCCCAGAGCAUGGAAGCAGCUUCUUCCAUCCCACACUGGAAACCACCCAGCACCCCCGGCCCUCCUUAGAGAGGAGCCAGACUCCCUUCCCCAGGAAGACACUAUAGUCCUAUCUGUGUCCUCCGUGGUCAUUGCCCCUCAGUCACAGUAAGGAAGAACAAAUUACCUGUUUUCUGCAUGUUCCUCUGACAUAAACCACCACAGAGUAAAUAUGAAAGGUUCUGGA